AUUGAACGCUGGCGGCAGGCCUAACACAUGCAAGUCGAGCGGAUGAAGGGAGCUUGCUCCUGGAUUCAGCGGCGGACGGGUGAGUAAUGCCUAGGAAUCUGCCUGGUAGUGGGGGAUAACGUCCGGAAACGGGCGCUAAUACCGCAUACGUCCUGAGGGAGAAAGUGGGGGAUCUUCGGACCUCUCGCUAUCAGAUGAGCCUAGGUCGGAUUAGCUAGUUGGUGGGGUAAAGGCCUACCAAGGCGACGAUCCGUAACUGGUCUGAGAGGAUGAUCAGUCACACUGGAACUGAGACACGGUCCAGACUCCUACGGGAGGCAGCAGUGGGGAAUAUUGGACGAUGGGCGAAAGCCUGAUCCAGCCAUGCCGCGUGUGUGAAGAAGGUCUUCGGAUUGUAAAGCACUUUAAGUUGGGAGGAAGGGCAGUAAGUUAAUACCUUGCUGUUUUGACGUUACCAACAGAAUAAGCACCGGCUAACUUCGUG
rnacentral:rRNA from 1 species